UCAUGUACAUUCAUACUUUAAAGGCGGCGAGUCAGCAGAAAGGUUAGCACGCCGGGCGAAAUGCUUAGCAGUAUUUCGUCUGCCGUUACGUUCUGAGUUCAAAUUCCGCCGAGGUCAACUUUGCCUUUCAUCCUUUCGGGGUCGAUUAAAUAA